rnacentral:rRNA from 1 species
GACGAACGCUGGCGGCGUGCUUAACACAUGCAAGUCGAACGCUGAAGCUCAGCUUUUGUUGGGUGGAUGAGUGGCGAACGGGUGAGUAACACGUGAGUAACCUGCCUCCUUCUUUGGGAUAACGCCCGGAAACGGGUGCUAAUACUGGAUAUUCACUGGUCUUCGCAUGGGGGUUGGUGGAAAGGGUUUUUCUGGUGGGGGAUGGGCUCGCGGCCUAUCAGCUUGUUGGUGGGGUGAUGGCCUACCAAAGCUUUGACGGGUAGCCGGCCUGAGAGGGUGACCGGUCACAUUGGGACUGAGAUACGGCCCAGACUCCUACGGGAGGCAGCAGUGGGGAAUAUUGCACAAUGGGCGCAAGCCUGAUGCAGCGACGCCGCGUGAGGGAUGGAGGCCUUCGGGUUGUGAACCUCUUUCGCUCAUGGUCAAGCCGCAACAAUGGUUGUGGUGAGGGUAGUGGGUAAAGAAGCGCCGGCUAACUACGUG